AUUCCAUAUGUGUUAUUUCACAGUUCUGAUGUAUUCACUAUUAUUCUACAAUGUAGAAAAUAGUAAAAAUAAAGAAAAACCUUAAAUUAGUAGGUGUGCCCAAACUUUUGACUGGUACUCUCUUAUCUUAGAAUAUGUUAAAUCAGUGUGGGAAAUAAUUUGGCAGAGUGCUCUUCACAGAAUAUUCAAUAGGAUACUACUACAGAGUAAAGGCAUCUCAAUUCCAAUGAGAUUUCUGAAUAAUAGGCUACUUAACAGUUCAUUGACUUUGCCUACUCAUCAGGACAUGGAUAUUUGCCGGGCUGCGCCAUACAUGGUUUUGACUAGAUUCAUUAGUAAAAUGAGACAGACAACGGUAUAUGUCUUCAGUCGAAAGCUGAGUGGCAUCUCUGCGCGGCAGGAGCUUGAAACUGCGUGGAUAUUUAUCCGUGGCAUUCACUCUUCUUUAUCCACGGCAACGAGAGGAAGAGUAGUAGCCUACCGUGAGCAAAACCCACAACACUGAGACCGGAAUGGUUUGAUUUUCAUCAGCUCGAUUCUAUCUGCUGGACAUGGCAGAAAUGAUCAACAACCUCAUCAUGCUUUGAUGCGAAGAUUUUCUCACGUUCUCUCAGGAGACCCUUAACUUCCAGACAAGACAGCAAUAGACAUGCACAGGUUGUUGCACACAGACUGCCACGAAAAUUUUAACAUUUCCACUAUUCAACAGCAGCUGGUGCAAGAAAUCAAGACAAAUAAAUACCCAACCAAAAACUCAAUCGUAAAACAAGCGGGAAACGUCAUCUUAUGAAUGGUCGGGUAAGCAGCCGCCGGUAAAGAUAGUCAUUUCUUCAUGGAUGCUUCUUUUUCAGUUUAAGUUUUUGUGAUAUACCCCACAUCUGAACUAUUAUUUUCGUAUAUGGAGUGGUUAUCGUAUGGAAAAGAAAAAUACAUUUUGAUUUGUAUCUUCUAUGCACAAGUUGAUGAUGUGUGAAAGAAAAAUUGAAUAAGAAUCUGUAGUGCAUGAUUUGACAAUGAAGAUAAAAUAAAUGCUUUAAAUUAAAUAAAUGCUUUCCUUAUAGGCUCCACAUUACAAACAAUGACAAAAAGGAGAAAAAAUGUAGUAUUUGUAUAGGCCCAUGAACAAAAAAAAGCAGAUAUGAGUUUCCAUGGUGAGAUAACAUAUGCAUUUAGAUAAUGUUUACAAGACUAUUAACUAUCUCAUUGGAAACUUGUCACUUCAGAAUAUAAGCCCUGCCAGGAAAGAACCAAAGGGGGCAUAAGUAGUGAUAAAGGCGUAUUUUUCAUGACAUCUUAUACCAACGUUUUUGGUGCAGUCUGGACCAGUCUUGAUUUCAACGUCCAAGGACGUAAUUUUUUGGUCCAGACCAAUCAUAGACUUCGAUGUUUGGUUUAGAUUUUGUCCGGUUUGGACUGGCCUUGAGUUCAAUGUCCACAGACGUCCGGUCCGGCCUAUAUUUGGCCCAAACAUAGAAGUCUAUAAUUGGUUCAGAUUUGGUCUGGUUCAGACAAAAUCUGAACCAAUCUUAGACAACUAUGUUUCACAACUUUGGACAGCACAGUACAUACAGUACAGUAGAGCACAGCAGAGUGCAGUACACAGUACAGUAAAGUAUAGUACAAUAUAGUAAAGCACACUAGAGUAAAGUAUAGUGUACCCUACUCUACUGAAUAAAACCUUACUGUUCUGUACCAUACUGUACUAUGCUCUACUGUAAUAUUCAAACUUGUGAAACAACCUAGACGUCUAUGAUUUGUUCAGAUUUGGAUCGCACCGAACAAAUUUGCACUGGCUUGGGGUCCAAGUGCAUUCGAAUAAUACCCAGUAUACUUUGCAAGUGUUUGUUUUUACAUUUACAUUUAGUUUAUUCAGCAGAUACUCUUAUCCAGAGCAACUUAGAGUCCGUGCAUUCAACUAAGAUAGAUAAACAAAAAUGUUAUUCUAGUUGAAGGGGUCCGUUGGUUUAUUCUGUAAUAAUGACUAAAUCUUACAUGAAUAUUAAACAUGAAAUAUCAAAACCAAAUGUACACUACUUUGUUAAUAUGUAUUGGCAAUAACUAACUUAAUGGUGAGGCAUAAAAUGUAUCUUUUGUCAGGCUGGAUGUUUGAAAUAUGAGUUUUUUGGACUACUUUGAACAUCAUCGCUGCCAGUUUCAAAGCUUUUGAAAAAGCUAACAUAAGUGCAUGUGACCGAUGGAAACAAUAAUAACAAUACUUUUUUUUUUAUAUCAAGAGGCUUGAAAAAUUAUUAUUGUGAUAUAAUGCUUAUUUAAUUGAAUGUAUGUGCAAUUGAAAUUUGGCCAUAGAAUUAAUUUCCGAAAAAUAUGUAUUUUCAACUUCUGUAAAUGAUGCCUUUUCAGUGUCUUGAAAAUACGUAUUUUUGUCAUCCGGAAAAUACAUAUUUUCACCUUUUCAUUCAGCACCCAAAUCAACGUCCGUAAAGGUAGUCUUUUCGACGUCCGUAUAAGAUAUUUUUUCAACAUCCAGAAAAUAUAUUUUCUAAACUUUCAUUCAGCACCUGAAAUGCACGUUUAUUUUAUAUAUUUUAUUUAACCUUUGUUUAACUAUGCAAGUCAGUAAAGAACAAAUUCUUACUGCUUACACAUGUCAUGGUCUGGAACUUCCUGCUUACACAUGUCAAUAUCUUACGUCUUUUCAACGUAAUUUUGCUUACUGGGUGGUAGUUUGGGUAUGUGUUGGCUUCUAAUGGUAAUCUUUUGUCUGUGUAAUUGCACUGUUUUGCUGCACAUUUCCUUCUGUUCCACUGAAAGCAAUUUUGAUGUUCUAUUAUGACUAAACUUGUUUUCAGAAUUUAACAAAUAGGACUAUGUAUUUUAUUUCAUUAUCCUAUACAAUCCACCAUGAUUUACCCCCAAAAUAUUUUUAUCCCAUUUAUUUCCGCCAAUAAUUAGUAAAAAUAUCGCACCUUAAUUUGACCCUGGAAAUACAUUAUGACAAUUAGAUUUUCCCGUAAUGUUUUUAAGCAAUUAACAUAAAUACGUGCAGUCAUUUUAUUUACAUUUCUGUAUCUAAAUAAGCAGAUAGGCAUAUCAGUUCCAACUUAAACUUGAAUUUCAAGCGUCAACAUUCCAUACGGCCGUUGGGACAGAGCGCCUGGUAGGCUACACAACAACACAGCUGGAAAACGACAGUUUCUCGAAAUUUGCACAAAAAAUAAUAAUAAUAUUUGACUGCUAAGUGGUCAUCCAUGUUCUCAUGCAUUCUUGUUUUACUUUUGUACGUAAAUUGGCAGUUUGUUGGGGAGAAGAACGUCAUGGAAAGUUUUGCUAGCUGGCUAAUUUUAGCUAGCUAACGUUAGCUCUCUGGCUAAUCCUCCAUGGACAUGGUAAGUUAAAUUUAAAUUUGUACCCAUUGUAGCUAGUUAGCUAUCUAAUGUUUUGACAUUUGAUAUGUUUAGUUAUUAAUGACAGUAAGAGUGUGUGCGUGCGUGUGUGAGAGAAAUUAUGAUCACAAUAACUUUAGAAAACAUUGUCAUGCUAGCUGUGUGUAUGUCUUUGUGAGAGAGUGGGAGAGAGAUGAUCACAAUCAUUUAUAGAAAAGGUUGUCAUGUCAACAUUGUCGUGUGAGUGAGUGCGCGCGAGAGAGGGUUGAUGAAUGCAAAUAGGAAACAUUGACUGUGUGUGACAUUGUUAUCUAGCCUAAUUCUUGAAACAUGUACCUCCCAAUACGAAUGUGAAAUUUUUCUUGAUUCAUCAGGGAUCCUUGCCUAUCCCCCCUCAACACUCAUUCUAACACCUUUCAACUACCUUCAAUUAUUGAUUUUCUCUAUUGCAGUAAUCUUCUAGCUUGGAUGGCAGACAGAAGUUAUCUAGCCGGCAGGCUAAGAAAUUUCCUUAAACAUGUCAAUGACCUGAUGCGUGCUUGUCCACCCACCUAUUCUCCCACAUCCCAGGGAAAAGAGAGCAGAACCAGUCCUUCUUAAAUCCAUAGUCAUUGACAGUCUCACUGAGACUGUAUUCCCCAGAAGACAUGCUAUUCCGCUCCCCAUGAUUGCUUGAUCUUAGUACUGCCAAGCUGUCCUGGAUUGGGGGAACUGUCCGGGAUAAUGUCCUCGGGAUUAUAGAGUGAUUGAUGACCAAUGAAUUAAUGUCCCACUUCAAUAUGAAGGGACAGAGGAGCAAACAUGCCUUGCUACCACUCAUGUGUGCUCCAUUGUAAUUGUGUCAUGAAAAGCCAGAAAACUUGGGAGGUUGAUGUGUUGCGGGCCGUCGGUAAAGUCCUAAAAUGUGCACCUGACCGCUGUGGUGGAGGAGGACCUAAAAUCUGACCCAUCACACCACUCUUCAAAAGGGCCAUUGCGCUCCAGAUCACCUUCUUUGCUCAGAGGUCCUUGAUGAGGAUCUUCCCCACCACACCAAUCUUAAUAAUCAUCAAUAAUAAAAAGCAAUACGCCUUCAUAUACUCUGCCCCAGUCUUUCUAUGCAUGUAAUGCCUGUGGGUAAAUUAUGAAAGAAUUACUGUAUGCAGAUGUGCAUAGAAUUGUUUGAUUUAUUGUAAAUGUAAGAAUGUUUUGCAGAUUGAAACUAAUUGGUGACUAUGGAAACAAAUAAAUGUAAUGAACAAUG